GCCGGGGUGGCGGAAUGCUAUACGCACAGGACUUAAAAUCCUGGGCCCGCAAGGGAUUGAGGGUUGGACUCCCUCCCCCGGCACCA
rnacentral:tRNA from 1 species